rnacentral:misc_RNA from 1 species
GAUGAAGAACGUAGUGAAAUGCGAUACGUAAUGUGAAUUGCAGAAUUCAGUGAAUCAUCGAAUCUUUGAACGCACAUUGCGCCUGCCAGCACUCUGGCAGGCAUGCCUGUUCGAGCGUCAUUUCAACCAUCAAGCCCUAGGCUUGCGUUGGAGCCCUGCGGCUGCCGCAGGCCCCUAAAAGCAGUGGCGGGCUCGCUAUCACACCGAGUGCAGUAGAUUACUCUUCGCUCAGGGCGUGUGGCGGGUUCCAGCCGUGAGACCCCCUACUUCUCAAGGUUGACCUCGGAUCAGGUAGGAAUACCCGCUGAACUUAAGCAUAUCAAUAAGCGGAGGA